CGUCUAAUCGCUCGAUAACCGACAAAGCCGAAGCCCAUCACGACCCAGACAUUGGCCGGUGGUCCUGCCUGCCUGCGGGCCGGCCUGCAGGUCCUCACUGCCUGCAACACACGCUCCCUAACCCCGGUGAGAGGCUGAAACCAGCCCACUCGCGGCUGUGUCGUUGUUCAGAACUCCCAUUAAAUACCUCAUCUGAAUACCACCGGUGGAUAUGAUCAAAAGCUCCAGAGCAGUGACUGAAUUGACCUCGUGGCGAGGCUGUUUCAGUUUUAAGACCUGGACCAGUUUUGUUCUGCUGCCUAAAAGAAGAAUGAAGAGAGCAGAUCCGUCGGUUCAGGUGUUUGUCCAUCAGUCAGCUGACAGUUGAACUGGUCUCUGAAGGCGUCCAGCAGGUGAGGGAUGGUUUCCUCCACGCUGAC